rnacentral:rRNA from 1 species
CAAAGGAAUUGACGGGGCCGCACAAGCGGUGGAGCAUGUGGUUUAAUUCGAAGCAACGCGAAGAACCUUACCAGGUCUUGACAUCCCUGACAACCCGAGAGAUCGGGCGUUCCCCUUCGGGGGACAGGGUGACAGGUGGUGCAUGGUUGUCGUCAGCUCGUGUCGUGAGAUGUUGGGUUAAGUCCCGCAACGAGCGCAACCCUCGACCUUAGUUGCCAGCAUUCAGUUGGGCACUCUAAGGUGACUGCCGGCUAAAAGUCGGAGGAAGGUGGGGAUGACGUCAAAUCAUCAUGCCCCUUAUGACCUGGGCUACACACGUGCUACAAUGGUUGGUACAACGAGUUGCGAGUCGGUGACGGCGAGCUAAUCUCUUAAAGCCAAUCUCAGUUCGGAUUGUAGGCUGCAACUCGCCUACAUGAAGUCGGAAUCGCUAGUAAUCGCGGAUCAGCACGCCGCGGUCGAAUACGUUCCGGGCCUU